UAAAAAUUAGUUUAUGUUAAUAAAAUAAUUAGUUGUCGACUAAUAGAAAAUGUUUAA
rnacentral:tRNA from 1 species